rnacentral:rRNA from 1 species
UGGGGAAUCUUCCACAAUGGACGCAAGUCUGAUGGAGCAACGCCGCGUGAGUGAAGAAGGGUUUCGGCUCGUAAAGCUCUGUUGUUAAAGAAGAAUGUGGGUAAGAGUAACUGUUUACCCAGUGACGGUAUUUAACCAGAAAGCCACGGCUAACUACGUGCCAG